CCCUUAGAUGUUCUGGGCCGCACAUGCGCUACACUGAAGGAGGCAGCGUGUACUCCUGGAUCGAAAGAUUUGGGUAACCCGCGAAUCUCCUUCGUGCUAGGGAUUGAGGUUUGCAAUUAUCCUUCAUGAACGAGGAAUUCCCAGUAAGUGCAAGUCAUAAGCUUGCGCUGACUACGUCCCUGCCCUUUGUACACACCGCCCGUCGCUACUACCGAUUGAAUGAUUUAGUGAGGACUUCGGACUGGGACCGAUGCGGCUUUCGGGCUGCGUCGGUAUUCUGGAAAGAUGUCCAAACUGUAUCAUUUAGAGGAAGUAAAAGUCGUAACA
rnacentral:rRNA from 1 species